GUGGGGAAUAUUGGACAAUGGGCGAAAGCCUGAUCCAGCCAUGCCGCGUGUGUGAAGAAGGUCUUCGGAUUGUAAAGCACUUUAAGUUGGGAGGAAGGGCAGUAAGUUAAUACCUUGCUGUUUUGACGUUACCGACAGAAUAAGCACCGGCUAACUUCGUGCCAGCAGCCGCGGUAAUACGAAGGGUGCAAGCGUUAAUCGGAAUUACUGGGCGUAAAGCGCGCGUAGGUGGCUUUGUAAGUUGGAGGUGAAAUCACCGGGCUCAACCUGGGAACUGCCUCCAUAACUGCAUGACUAGAGUACGGUAGAGGGUAGUGGAAUUUCCUGUGUAGCGGUGAAAUGCGUAGAUAUAGGAAGGAACACCAGUGGCGAAGGCGACUACCUGGACUGAUACUGACACUGAGGUGCGAAAGCGUGGGGAGCAAACAGGAUUAGAUACCCGUGUAGUCC
rnacentral:rRNA from 1 species